GACGUAGGGCGCGAGCGUUGUCCGGAUUUAUUGGGCGUAAAGAGCUCGUAGGCGGCUUGUUGCGUCGGCUGUGAAAACCCAUGGCUUAACCGUGGGCUUGCAGCCGAUACGGGCAGGCUAGAGUUCGGUAGGGGAGACUGGAAUUCCUGGUGUAGCGGUGAAAUGCGCAGAUAUCAGGAGGAACACCAAUUGCGAAGGCAGCUCGCUGGGACGUUACUGACGCUGAGACGCGAAAGCGUGGGGAGCAAACAGG
rnacentral:rRNA from 1 species